AAUCAACGCUGGCGGCGUGCCUCAGACAUGCAAGUCGAACGCUGCUGUUCGCCUUCGGGUGGACAGCGGAGUGGCGCACGGGUGAGUAACACGUAGGUAAUCUACCUUUGGGUGGGGAAUAACAGCCGGAAACGGCUGCUAAUACCGCAUAAUGCAGCGGCAUCACAUGAUGACAGUUGUUAAAGCGGGGGAGUCGUAAGACCUCGCGCCUGAAGAGGA
rnacentral:rRNA from 1 species